GACAGAGGUGCCAAGCGUUAGGCGGAAUCACUGGGCUUAAAGCGUGUGUAGGCGGAUUGGUAAGUACCUUGUGAGAUCCCACGGCUCAACCGUGGAACUGCUUGGUAUACUGCUUAUCUUGAGCCACUUAGGGGCUACCGGAACAAAUGGUGGAGCGGUGAAAUGCGUAGAUAUCAUUUGGAACGCCAAUGGUGAAAACAGGUAGCUGGGAGUGUGCUGACGCUGAGACACGAAAGCCAGGGGAGCGAACGGG
rnacentral:rRNA from 1 species